UUAUAUGGAAAAAAAAGAGAUGUUUAAAAGGACCAGUGAUGGCUUGAAUUCCAGCAAUGUGGCAGACUAAACAGCUAGAGGUCAUGAAAAGAGGUGAGACCUACAAAGACUAUUACUGUGAUAUCAGCUGAGGAGAGCAGAUGCUGAGAAGCACACAGAGAAAAAGCAAAAGACUCAGAGAUGGACAGAGAGAGACUGCAGAAAGCUUCCAGAAAUCCUAAAAAGCAAAAAUGCUAUGCCAAUAAACACAAAAAUGUUUAAAAUGUUAAAAGUUUCAUCAAAAAGUAAAUUAGUCAUUCAAAUUAAUUAUAAACAUCAAUUACCAUUUAAUUAAUGAAAAUCCUAAAGGAUAAAAGGGCCAGUGGAGAAAAGAAAAUUUAGAGAUGAUAUUUACUUAGAUUUUACUGUAUCCAGUUCUAAUUUCAGAAAGGAGCAGGCUGGUUAUAAACAUUCGAAAGGAAGCCUCCACCACCCCUUUCUACCUUACUAGUAAAAUGAUAAGAGAAAAUGUGUCUAGCCCUUCUAAAUAGCCCCAGAGCUAGCCAUAUGCAGAAGAUUUUAAACUAGACCCUUUUCUGAUACCAUAUGCAAAGAUCAACUCAAGAUGGAUUAAAUACUGAAAUAUAAAACCUAAAAAUAUAAAAAGCCUGGAAGAUAACCUAGAA